GAGGGUAUAGCUCAGUGGUAGUGUGCAUGCCUAGCAUGCACGAGGUCCUGGGUUCAAUCCCCGGUACCUCCA
rfam:Camelus ferus unplaced genomic scaffold scaffold473, whole genome shotgun sequence.